rnacentral:rRNA from 1 species
GACGAGUGGCGAACGGGUGCGUAACGCGUAUGCAACCUACCUUCUUCUAAGGAAUAGCCCAGAGAAAUUUGGAUUAAUACCUUAUGAUAAUAUUUAUUCGCAUGUUUAAAUAUUUAAAACUCCGGUGGAAGAAGAUGGGCAUGCGUAACAUUAGUUUGUUGGUGAGGUAAUGGCUCACCAAGACUACGAUGUUUAGGGGGUCUGAGAGGAUGAUCCCCCACACUGGUACUGAGACACGGACCAGACUCCUACGGGAGGCAGCAGUGAGGAAUAUUGGUCAAUGGACGAAAGUCUGAACCAGCCAUGCCGCGCGGAGGAUGACGGCCCUACGGGUUGUAAACUUCUUUUGUAUAGGAAGAAACCCCUCUACGUGUAGAGGGUUGACGGUACUAUUCGAAUAAGCACCGGCUAACUCCGUGCCAGCAGCCGCGGUAAUACGGAGGGUGCGAGCGUUAUCCGGAAUUAUUGGGUUUAAAGGGUGCGUAGGCGGAAAUUUAAGUCAGUGGUGAAAGCCUGCAGCUUAACUGUAGAAUUGCCAUUGAUACUGGAUUUCUUGAAUCUAAUAGAAGUAGGCGGAAUAUGACAUGUAGCGGUGAAAUGCUUAGAUAUGUCAUAGAACACCGAUAGCGAAGGCAGCUUACUAUGUUAGUAUUGACGCUAAUGCACGAAAGCGUGGGGAGCGAACAGGAUUAGAUACCCUGGUAGUCCACGCCGUAAACGAUGAUUACUCGCUAUUGGCGAUACACUGUCAGUGGCUAAGCGAAAGUGAUAAGUAUCC